GACGAACGCUGGCGGCGUGCCUAAUACAUGCAAGUCGAACGCUUCUUUUUCCACCGGAGCUUGCUCCACCGGAAAAAGAGGAGUGGCGAACGGGUGAGUAACACGUGGGUAACCUGCCCAUCAGAAGGGGAUAACACUUGGAAACAGGUGCUAAUACCGUAUAACAAUCGAAACCGCAUGGUUUUGAUUUGAAAGGCGCUUUCGGGUGUAGCUUAUGGAUGGACCCGCGGUGCAUUAGCUAGUUGGUGAGGUAACGGCUCACCAAGGCCACGAUGCAUAGCCGACCUGAGAGGGUGAUCGGCCACAUUGGGACUGAGACACGGCCCAAACUCCUACGGGAGGCAGCAGUAGGGAAUCUUCGGCAAUGGACGAAAGUCUGACCGAGCAACGCCGCGUGAGUGAAGAAGGUUUUCGGAUCGUAAAACUCUGUUGUUAGAGAAGAACAAGGAUGAGAGUAACUGUUCAUCCCUUGACGGUAUCUAACCAGAAAGCCACGGCUAACUACGUGCCAGCAGCCGCGGUAA
rnacentral:rRNA from 1 species